UACAGAGGUGGCAAGCGUUGUUCGGAAUUACUGGGCGUAAAGGGCGCGUAGGCGGCCUUCUAAGUCAGACGUGAAAUCUCCCGGCUCAACUGGGAGGGUGCGCCGAAUACUGAGAGGCUAGAGUGUGGGAGAGGAGAGUGGAAUUCCUGGUGUAGCGGUGAAAUGCGUAGAUAUCAGGAGGAACACCGGUGGUGUAAACGGCUUUCUGGACCAUAACUGACGCUGAGGCACGAAAGCGUGGGUAGCAAACAGG
rnacentral:rRNA from 1 species